rnacentral:rRNA from 1 species
UACGUAGGUGGCAAGCGUUGUCCGGAUUUAUUGGGUUUAAAGGGUGCGUAGGCGGCUUUGUAAGUCAGUGGUGAAAUAUGGCAGCUUAACUGUCAGGGCGCCAUUGAUACUGCGGAGCUUGAGUACAGAUGAGGUAGGCGGAAUUGACGGUGUAGCGGUGAAAUGCUUAGAUAUCGUCAAGAACACCUAUAGCGAAGGCAGCUUACUAGGCUGUAACUGACGCUGAGGCACGAAAGUGUGGGGAUCAAACAGG